rnacentral:lncRNA from 1 species
GAUCCUUUUCAAUUUUUUUGUAUUUAUUUUUAACUUAUUUUUUUAGAAUUUUACAAAAUUUUAGUUAAGAUCAAUGGUUUAUUCAUUAAUUAUUGAGGUUUAAAUCUAUUAUAGGAAUUACUAGGAUUUGGUUUAGGAUUUGGUUAGGGUUUGGUUUAGGGUUUAGGAUUUGGAUUAGGAUUUGAUUAGGAUUUUAUUAGGAUUUAUUUAGAAUUUAGGAUUUGGUUAGGGUUUGGAUUAAGAUUUGAUUUAGAGUUUAGGAUUUGAAUUAGGAUUUGGUUAGGGUUUGAUAAAGGAUUUAGGAUUUGGAUUAGGGUUUGGUUUAGGGUUUAGGAUUUGAAUUAGGAUUUUCUUAGGAUUUGAUAAAGGGUUUAAGAUUUGGAUUAAGAUUUGAUUUAGGAUUUAGGAUUUAGAUUAAGGUUUGGUUAGGAUUUGGUUAGGGUUUGAUUUAGGAUUUAGGGUUUGGUUUAGGGUUUGGUUAGGAUUUGGUUUAGGAAUUGGUUGGGGUUUGGUUUAAGGUUUGUUUAGGGUUUGAUUUAGGAUUUAGGAUUUUAUUAAGAUUUAAGAUUCAAUUACUUUUGGCCUAAAGUUUGAAUGAAGCUCUAUAGGAUUUUAACUAGAAUUAAAUUAAGAUUGAAUUGAGAUGUAUUUGAGUGAUAUUUGUGAUCCUUCUAAUAUUUUUUUAAGAAUUUUUAUUGUUUGUUUGAAAUUUCUUUGAGGUUUUUUUGAAUUUUAUUAAGCUUGCUUAGUAUUAUUAUUGUCUAAUUAGAACAUUGUUAGUAUUCUUUUAGAAUUAGGAUUUUGUUAUUACAAUUUUCAUUCUUCCUUCCACAGCCAGGUGCUCAGAGCAUUCUCAAGCAAGACUUCACAUAUUAUGACACCAUAUUGGGUGAUUGAAGGUUUUUCCAAUGAGU